AAGUAGUUGCGUAAGUAGGGGUCACAGGCAGGGGCUGCUUCCGGGGGGGGACACCAGGCAUUAUGUAGGCUGCGGAGUGGUCGGCUGUUUCGCGAAGCUUCUGCGGCUCUAGGGCUCCGCGGCUGCCGCCAUGUUCGGCUGUUUGGUGGCGGGUAGGCUGGUGCAAGCAGUGGCACAACAGGUGGCCCAGGAUAAGUUUGUAUUUGACUUGCCUGACUAUGAAAACAUCAACCAUGUGGUGGUCUUUAUGUUGGGAACUAUCCCAUUUCCAGAGGGCAUGGGAGGAUCUGUCUACUUCUGCUUUCCUGACCAGAGUGGGAUGGCAGUGUGGCAACUCCUGGGGUUUGUCACCAAUGAGAAGCCAAGUGCCAUCUUCAAAAUUUCUGGUUUAAAAUCUGGGAAAGGCAGCCAACACCCCUUUGGAGCAAUGAACAUCCCUCAGACACCAUCUGUAGCCCAGAUUGGGAUCUCAGUGGAAUUGCUUGAACAUUUGGCCCAGCAGACUCCUGUAGCAAGUGCUGCUGUAUCAUCAGUAGACUCAUUCACUCAGUUCACUCAGAAGAUGCUGGAUAGCUUCUAUAACUUUGCCUCAUCGUUUGCUGUCACGCAGGCCCAGAUGACACCGAAUCCCUCUGAAGCUUUCAUCCCUGCAAAUGUGGUUCUGAAAUGGUAAAGGAAAUCAUCUCGAGCAAUAAGCUUAUUUCUAGGCACCAAAAUUGUGGGUUUCAUAGCACUGAAUUAACUUUCAUGCCAUACAGAAAUCUUACUUUGAAAAUACUUAACUAAAAGUUCUCCUGUUGACUUUGCUACACUAUAAUAGCUUCUUGUAUUCUGUUCUACAUAGCCUCUUUUUAAAUACUAAACUUGGAUCAUUAAAAUGCUGUACCUAUCUCACUCGUUUGGUACUAGGCAGUUUAACCCCUACUUGCAGUAUGUGGCUGAUUCCGGAAGCUGCCUUUGCUCCUUGUAAUGGUACUGACCAUGGGAAAGCAGAACACACUGCCGUCUCUUGGUCUACAAUCCAUGUCUGUUAAGUUCUCAGGAGCACUUAGUUAACAACAUUGUAUGAACACUCCUAGUCCUUUCCCCACAAAGUCAUCACCUCUUAGCCCAGGGAACAUGUAUUCAAAGGAUGUUGACCUAGACCAAGUUUUAAAACACUACUUAAAAAUGAUUCAUACUCUCUGAACAUGGUUUGACCAUCUAGUGUGGGCAGGGCAAAGUAUGUUAAAUGAGUUCAGCCUAAUUAGUUAAAAAUUAUGCCUCAGACUGGUUUGGGUAACAGUUCCUAGCCAGUGUAGAUUGGGAAAUGUGGGGGGACGGACUUUUAAUAUACAGUAGCACCUCAGAGUUACAAACACCAGAGUUUGAUGAACUGACUGGUCAACCAGACACCUAAUUUGGAACUGGAAGUAUGCAAUCAGGCAGCCGCAGGAACCCCUUCUCCCUCCCCUCCGCCCCCCCCAAAAAGAAAAAGAAAAGCAAAUGCAGUAGAGUACUGUUUAAACAUAAACCACUAAAAAAAAAAAAAAAGGAAAGUUUUUUAAAAAAAGAUGAUGAUUUGACAAGGUAAGGAAACUCUUUCAUUUAAAUUAAGAUGGUUAAAAGCAGCAUUUUUCUUCCACACAGUAAAGUUUCAAAGCUGUAUUAAGUCAAUGUUCAGUUGUAAACUUUUGAAAAAACAACCAUAAUGUUUUGUUCAGAGUUACGAACAUUUUAGAGUUAUGAACAAUCUCCAUUCCCGAAGUUUUUGUAAUUCUGACGUUCUACUGUAGUUAGUGGUUCUCCUUUGGACUUGGAAUUUUGAAAUCGUAAGAUUUACCCUGAACAUAGCUGAUUCAUUCUUAUCCUUUGAUUCUGAUAGCACUGAGAAUGUUCUAGACACUGUACAAAUGUAAAAGAAGGCAAGAUCCCUGAAAGAAAAACAAAGGGUAGGGGAAAGGAGUUGAACAAAUAGUCAGGAUAGUGUCUGGUCAAGUCCUGAUACAAUUUUGAAAAGGGCCAGCUUCCCUGUGACAGUUGAGUGGCAAAACCGCUAGGGAUGCCCAGUUCCAGCAAAAGGACCUUUCCAGAGAGCGGCAGGAGGUCCGUUUCACUGGGGAGCUACACUCUGUGACCCUGCUGGGAUUCUGGCAUGAAGACUUGCUUAAGUGUCCUUUUGGCCUUUGGUUAAAUAAGUUAUGUUCACUACAUAAAUGCCUCAUUGAAUCUGUUGAAAAUCCACGGAGGCAGGGACGCACCCAUCGCUUAGUAUCAGGGUGAACGGUGAGGCCCAGACAGGCACUCUGGAGGUCUGCACAGGCUAUACCAAUACAUUAAAAAAAAAAAAAAAAAAAAAAAUUAGAAAUAGAAAAAUUGAAGUGGGCUAAAACAAGAUAGGAUUAAGCAAUCUCCUUAGCUGACAAAAUUUUUAAUUGAUCUAGUAAUCUGAUUACAGCCAUAUAGGGUACCAGUAAUUUGACCCAGCUGGAGCAAGAGUUUGAAGAGCUUCACACUCUGCUCUCAUUUGAAGUUGUAUCAGGUCUUUCCAGAGAUGACAGUAUUUCUUUCCUGUGGCCAUUGACUAUUUCAUCCAUGUGAUCUGUGAAAUGUGGACAGCUUGUGUAGAAGUGAGGAUUUUGAAGCUUGUUUUUGGCUUCUGCAGGAUCAAAGCCUGUAGUAUAUUUAUUGAAAAGGUCUCAUAAGUCUCAUAUAUUCUGUCCUGUUUUUGGAACCUCUUAGAUUAUUAACUUUGAUUAUAAAAAUUCAUUGUUUUCUUCACUUAUGCUCUUUGUCCAAGAUGGCAGCAAUAGAGGAAGUAGGAUGGUCUGUGAAUAGUUAAUUUCACUAAGCAUUAGCACACUGUAGGGAAUGUUAGCAUCUAAAAACCCAUUAUUUUUAUUUCUUUAAAUUCAGCACUGGAUUUUUGUGACACGUACUUAUAUUCUUAAAACAUAAAUGUUGGGGUUUAAACUACUGUCAUUUCAGCAUACAUAGAAAAAAUGGCAAACUACUUAUCUGGUGCUCUUCCUAUGAAUUAUAAGGAAACAUGACACACGUACAUUAGUCUUCGAUUACAUAAUCAGAUACGAUAUUUUCCACAAGAUCAAGAGCCUCAUUUAUUUCACAAGAUGGAAUCAAAGGGGACAGAAUUAAGAGUAUAUGGGCAACCUUAAACUGGCAUUUUCUGACUUUUGAAUGCUUGACUUUGCAACCUGAAUAAUGUUUUUUAGUGUGUAAUCCAUGAAAUGUUUUGGUUUUGUUAAAUUUUAAUCAGCUACACCAUAAAGAUAAUGACCUAAUGGAAUAUACAUCUCAGUAUCAAAGUGCCUGAAUCAUGACUGGGAAAACAGGGUUUGAGAAGACCAUGCAGAGGAAAGAUAUAUUUAAACAGUUUUCCAUGCUGUGUGUGGGGGUAAUACUUAAAUCUUGCCUCUGUACAGAUGACUUAAUCUGUGAUCUGGGCUAGUUCUUCAGUAAUGGUUUGGAAAAUUGAAGCUAUAAUUCUUGAGUUGCAUCAUUGGGAAGCCAUUUUAAUUGGUACAAACGUUUGUCUCUUCUAGGUAUGAGAACUUCCAGAGACGACUGGCUCAGAAUCCUUUCUUUUGGAAAACAUAAACUUUAAUCAGGUCUUUGAAGUGCACUCUGACUAUAGUCAUGUCUUAAAGAUACAGUAAAUCACUAAAGAAAGUUGGUGGAGUAAUCAAAAUCUAAGCAGACUACAUGGAUUUUAUAGUACCAUUGGAACUUAUUUAAAAUUAAAAACCUGAAAACAA